GAUGAACGCUGGCGGCGUGCCUAAUACAUGCAAGUCGAGCGAACAGACGAGGAGCUUGCUCCUCUGACGUUAGCGGCGGACGGGUGAGUAACACGUGGAUAACCUACCUAUAAGACUGGGAUAACUUCGGGAAACCGGAGCUAAUACCGGAUAAUAUAUUGAACCGCAUGGUUCAAUAGUGAAAGACGGUUUUGCUGUCACUUAUAGAUGGAUCCGCGCCGCAUUAGCUAGUUGGUAAGGUAACGGCUUACCAAGGCGACGAUGCGUAGCCGACCUGAGAGGGUGAUCGGCCACACUGGAACUGAGACACGGUCCAGACUCCUACGGGAGGCAGCAGUAGGGAAUCUUCCGCAAUUGGCGAAAGCCUGACGGAGCAACGCCGCGUGAGUGAUGAAGGUCUUCGGAUCGUAAAACUCUGUUAUUAGGGAAGAACAAAUGUGUAAGUAACUAUGCACGUCUUGACGGUACCUAAUCAGAAAGCCACGGCUAACUACGUG
rnacentral:rRNA from 1 species